GGAAAAGUAAUUGCAGAAAAUGCAUUGUUUAAGUCAGAUCCCAUGUCCCUGGGCUUGAUUCUCUAUCAGGAUUCAUUUGAAGUUGUUAAUCCAUUAGGUUCAGGGAAAAAAACACAUAAAGUGCUGGCAGUCUAUCUCACUUUAGGAGACAUUUUGCCUCAUAAUCGGUCAACCACUGACCAUAUGCAACUUGUUCUACUUUGCAGAGAGCAAGAUUUCAAGUUCUUUGGACAUGACAUGGCGAUGGGGCAGCUGAUAAAGGAUCUCAAAGACCUUGAGAUUCUGUGAAAUUGAUCGACCAACAUUUGUGGCAGACUGGCCAAGGGGCCAAGCAGGACUGUGCAGUCAUAUAUAGCUCCGACAGAUGGUUGAGUUCAUUUGUGCCCCUGCCAUUUCUUCAGGACAGAUCGCCUACUUAAAGGUAAUGAUUGAGGACUACAUGUAUUUUCGAAAGAAACUAUUUCCUGACCAUCCUCUGAGGCCAAAACACCAUUAUGUUACUCAUUAUCCAGAACUAACAGUCCAGUUUGGGCCACUCAUUCGUCUCUGGACCCUCAGAUUUGAAAGCAAACACACAUAUUUCAAGCAGUGUUCAAGAAAGUUGCACAAUUUCAAGAACAUUUGCUCUACUCUUGCUGAAAGGCAUCAGCUAUUUCAAGCUUAUUUAAGUGCUGGUAGUCUGUUCCCACCCCAUGUUGUUGUUGAAAAAGGAACAGAAUUUUGCCCAUCGGAUUACAAUGAUGAUAUUAGAGAAGCUGUUUCACACCUUAACUGUCAGUCAAGCACACUCAUUUCACAUGAAACAAAAGUGAAAGGGACUAAAUACAAAAAAAAUAUGUUUCUUGUGCUUGAUCAAAUUGAUGAUGGAAUUGUAUUUGGCAAAAUAAAAGCCAUUCUCAUUCAAGGAGAUUCCGUCAACUUCAUCACAGAAAGAUAUAACUCUUCAACUCUCAUUGAUCAGGGCCUUCAUUGCAUAUCUGAGAAACCUGCAAAAAGGCUGUGUUGUGUCAGCCAGGAAAACCUAUUGGACUACUAUCCCUUGCCCAUGUACAAGUUGUGUGGCCUGUCAG